UGGAUCCAGACUUUGAUUCUGGCUCAGGACGAACGCUGGCGGCGUGCUUAACACACGCAAGUCGAACGGAGCACCCUUGAUUGAGGUUUCGGCCAAAUGAUAGGAAUGCUUAGUGGCGGACUGGUGAGUAACGCGUGAGGAACCUGCCUUUCAGAGGGGGACAACAGUUGGAAACGACUGCUAAUACCGCAUGACGCAUUUUGAUCGCAUGGUCGAAAUGCCAAAGAUUUAUCGCUGAAAGAUGGCCUCGCGUCUGAUUAGCUAGUUGGUGAGGUAACGGCCCACCAAGGCGACGAUCAGUAGCCGGACUGAGAGGUUGACCGGCCACAUUGGGACUGAGAUACGGCCCAGACUCCUACGGGAGGCAGCAGUGGGGAAUAUUGGGCAAUGGGCGCAAGCCUGACCCAGCAACGCCGCGUGAAGGGAGAAGGCUUUCGGGUUGUAAACUUCUUUUAAGUGGGAAGAGCAGAAGACGGUACCACUUGAAUAAGCCACGGCUAACUACGUGCCAGCAGCCGCGGUAAUACGUAGGUGGCAGGCGUUGUCCGGAUUUACUGGGUGUAAAGGGCGUGCAGCCGGGCAUGCAAGUCAGAUGUGAAAUCUCAGGGCUUAACCCUGAAACUGCAUUUGAAACUGUAUGUCUUGAGUGCCGGAGAGGUAAUCGGAAUUCCUUGUGUAGCGGUGAAAUGCGUAGAUAUAAGGAAGAACACCAGUGGCGAAGGCGGAUUACUGGACGGUAACUGACGGUGAGGCGCGAAAGCGUGGGGAGCGAACAGGAUUAGAUACCCUGGUAGUCCACGCUGUAAACGAUGGAUACU
rnacentral:rRNA from 1 species